rnacentral:rRNA from 1 species
CAGCCGCCACGGUAAAACGUAGGCGGCAAGCGUUGUCCGGAAUUAUUGGGCGUAAAGGGCUCGCAGGCGGUUUCUUAAGUCUGAUGUGAAAGCCCCCGGCUCAACCGGGGAGGGUCAUUGGAAACUGGGAAACUUGAGUGCAGAAGAGGAGAGUGGAAUUCCACGUGUAGCGGUGAAAUGCGUAGAGAUGUGGAGGAACACCAGUGGCGAAGGCGACUCUCUGGUCUGUAACUGACGCUGAGGAGCGAAAGCGUGGGGAGCGAACAGGAUUAGAUACCCCAGUAGUCCCUGUCUCUUAUAC